rnacentral:rRNA from 1 species
AGUCGAGCGAACUGAUUAGAAGCUUGCUUCUAUGACGUUAGCGGCGGACGGGUGAGUAACACGUGGGCAACCUGCCUGUAAGACUGGGAUAACUCCGGGAAACCGGAGCUAAUACCGGAUAACAUUUUCUCUUGCAUAAGAGAAAAUUGAAAGAUGGUUUCGGCUAUCACUUACAGAUGGGCCCGCGGUGCAUUAGCUAGUUGGUGAGGUAACGGCUCACCAAGGCAACGAUGCAUAGCCGACCUGAGAGGGUGAUCGGCCACACUGGGACUGAGACACGGCCCAGACUCCUACGGGAGGCAGCAGUAGGGAAUCUUCCGCAAUGGACGAAAGUCUGACGGAGCAACGCCGCGUGAGUGAUGAAGGCUUUCGGGUCGUAAAACUCUGUUGUUAGGGAAGAACAAGUACAAGAGUAACUGCUUGUACCUUGACGGUACCUAACCAGAAAGCCACGGCUAACUACGUGCCAGCAGCCGCGGUAAUACGUAGGUGGCAAGCGUUAUCCGGAAUUAUUGGGCGUAAAGCGCGCGCAGGCGGUUUCUUAAGUCUGAUGUGAAAGCCCACGGCUCAACCGUGGAGGGUCAUUGGAAACUGGGGAACUUGAGUGCAGAAGAGAAAAGCGGAAUUCCACGUGUAGCGGUGAAAUGCGUAGAGAUGUGGAGGA